UCCAUCCCUCCAUCCCUCCAUCCAUCACUCUUUCUCUCUCCCCUUUCUUUUAUUCCCGGUGGCUAUUGUUCCCAUCUUUAUGUCCAUGUGUACCCAAUGUUUAGCUCCCACUUAUAAGUGAGAACAUGUAAUAUUUGGCUUUCUGUUUCUGUGUUAAUUAGCUUAGGACAAUGGCCUCGAGCUGCAUCCGUGUUGCUGCAAAAGACAUGACUUUGUUCGUUUUUAUGGCUGCAUAGUAUUCCAUGGUGUAUGCGUACAUACCACAUUUUCUUUAUUCAGUCCACUGUUGAAGGGCACCUGGGUUGAUUUCAUGUCUUUCCUACGUGAAUUGAUAGCACCUCUUUCAUUCUUUCCCAGAUGCUGAACUUCGCAGAAAAGGCAGAUAUUCGAUCAUUUCCAGUCUUUUCCCUUAGAUGAUACACAAAGUGUUGCUUUUCAGUUUUCAACUCUGGGAAUUUAUCUUUUCUCACUCGCCAAAGCCACAGCUGAGAGCAAGCAGCAGAAACUGAUUAACACUGUCUGUCCAGGCUGAAGCUAUUGAACAAUUACAAGAUGAGGAAACAGAUGUGAGAGGUGAAAUAACUUGCCUGAGGAAACACAGCUCAAACUGGAACUGACUCCUAAGUCUAUGAUUUUAACCUCUAUGCAUAUGUAAUCCUUGUGAAGAUGGUUCUAUGAAAAGUCCGUAACAACAUACAACCCAUUAAUUUAGUACCAGAUGUAAAAUGUGAUUUAACUGCCUUAUUGAAAAGAAUAAACUUGCAUGAAAUUGAGACCUGACUGUUCCAUUUCUAGGAAAUUGUCCUUCUUGAUGUGUUUGAGCCAGAUCUGAGAGCUUCUGCCAGGAGAGCAAUUAGAACUUGCAGACUCCCACUGAAGUCCCAUUUAGCUCCGUGUGUCUGGGGGAGGAAACCAAGGCAGCUCAUAGCAAUAACUUCAUUGAGUUGUUACCCUGUUGAUACCUUUCUAUUCAUCAGGCUUGCAAAGGAAGCAGAGAACUCUGUUUCCCUGCCUUCCUCAUUCCCUCACCUCCCCAAAAACAUACACCCACCGCCACUGCCACGUCCUUUAUUUCUCUACUCUUUUUUUUUUUUUUAGAUGAAGUCUAGCUCUUGUUGCCCAGGCUAGAGUGCAGUGGCGCAAUCUUGGCUUACUGCAACCUCCGCCUCCCAGGUUCAAGCUUCUCCUGCCUCAGCCUCCUGAGUAGCUGGGAUUACAGGUGCCCGCCAACACACCUGGCUAAUUUUUGUACUUUUAGUAGAGACGGG
rnacentral:lncRNA from 1 species